UGUGUAGGCGGAUAUGCAAGUCAAAUGUGAAAACUCACGGCUUAACCGUGAGCCUGCAUCUGAAACUGCAUGUCUUGAGUACGGAAGAGGAAAACGGAAUUUCAGGUGUAGCGGUGAAAUGCGUAGAUAUCUGAAAGAACACCAGUUGCGAAGGCUGUUUUCUGGUCCGAUACUGACGCUGAGACACGAAAGCUGGGGGAGCGAACAGGAUUAGAUACCCUGGUAGUCC
rnacentral:rRNA from 1 species